AUGUUUUGGACCACUGAUUUAACCCAUUGUACCACCAGGGUCUCCUCCUCCAUGAUGUCUUUUAUCUUUGUUUACUACAAUUUAAGGUGCAGAUCAAUGAGACUUAGGAAGAGAAGAGACAUUCUGGGGGAACAGAUUGCAAAUGCAAGUUUAAUUCGAAAGGUUAUGUCUUAUGAAGCCUUCCUUUUUUCCUUAAGAGAAAAAAAUAUUGAAGAUGACAUGGAGGCUGUUUUUCUGAAAGGAGAUGGAUGUGUUGUUCUCCUUGUAAAAGAGAAGCUUAAUUCAUCAUUUACUAUAGUUCUUCUUUUACAGCUAUAGGAGACUGUAGAUGUGAGUAUUUAAAGGGAAAUUUUAGAUGUAUGAAAAUGUCAUUUUCGUUUCUUUCUCUAAACCCCACAGUGUUUUCAUCUUAUUGAAGUGUCAGAUUGUCGGUUUCCCUCCUUUUCCUAUACAUGACAUUUUGAUAUGCAUGUCUUCCUACUGUAUAAGAUUUAAAACAUGUUUCCUAAUGUGCAUAUUUUAAUGUAUUUUCCUUAUUGUCUGAAGUGUGUUUGCAUGCAUGCAUUUUUCAAAUUGAUGCAAUUUUGAUCAUGUCCAUUUGUUUACAUAUAAUUAGAAAGGGGGUGAGAGAAUCUGGCAUAAAGAGGGUUUUUUUCCCCAAUGACAGAAAAUGAAAAGAUAUGGACAAAUCAUGAAGGCAAAUCAAUGACCACCAUGAAGGAUACUUUUCACAUCUCCAUCAACUAUGCUUUUGAUGUUUGUGGAACUGUGAGAAGUGUCCUUUUUGAAGAUCUAAGGGCCUGAGCAAGCUCAAACAAUGAGAUGGUUUAGCCUGAAGCUGAGCCCACCUCUGCCACAGGGGUUUCUAGACUCAAGUGUGGUUAGAUUCAGUCUAAGGGUAUACUUGUUAUCAUUCAUGGAACCAAUCCACCUGUAAAAGACUCCAACAUGGGAUUUCCACAUUUGGAAUUGAUUAUGGAGUACUAACCAGAGAAGGAAAAUGAAGGCCAGUGUGAUGUAAUGGUUUGAACAUUGGACUAUGAUGCUGGAGACCAGGAUUUGAAGCCUUACUCAGCCAUUGAAACCAUUGAGUUACAUUGAGCAAAUCACUCUCUCUCAGCUUUAGAGGAAGGCAAAGGCAUACCCUCUCUGAACAAAUCUUGCUGAGAAAACCCAGGUUCACCUUAAGGUCCUCAUAAUUUAGAAAUAAUGUGAAGGCACACAACAACAGGUCAGAGAAGGGGGAAGUUAAAUCCACUCUAAAAUCAGUAGAUGCCAAUGAAACUCUUCAGGCAUAAGGAGUUCAGCAGAGCUUAAACCCAUUUAGCUUCUUGUGGUUGUACCUAGAUUUUCCAGAUUUUAGUUGUACUGUGGGUCCUCAAUAUCUGCUGGGAUUUGGUUCCAAGCCAAAAUCUGUGGAUGCUCAGGUCCCAUUAUAUACAAUGGCAUGUCUUAUUUAAAAUGGUGAACAACUUGAAACCAGCAAUGGAAAGAAAUUGAAGUUUUGUGAAUUGGUAGAAGGGUAUGCAUAAUGCUUGGCAUGCAACAAAAUCAAGAUUUGCUUUUUUGUAGUCUUUUUAUUAUUAUUACUUUCGAGUUGUGAUUGGUUGAAUCUGUGGAUGUAAAGCGAAUGGAUAUGAAGGACUGACUGUAAUUAUUUCAUGGAAGGCAAAGCGAAAAGCUUUCUGUAGAUUUAUGAUAAGGCCAUUUGUUUUCACAUGAAUCAAUAACUGGUGAUGGUGUUGAUUUUGACCAUAUAGGACAUCUGUCUAGAUUCAUAUAGAUUUAAAGAAAUGACAUCUCUCAUUUUAAAAGAAAAUGCAAUUUCAGGAGUUUUUACAAAAACUGCCUAGUUUAGUCUUCAAAUAGAAGAAAAUGCUAAGUGUGUUUACAAGUCUAUAUAAAGCAAGGAGUAAUCAAUACUUCGAUUUAAUGUCAUACAUUUAAUGCCAGUGUACAAUAUUAAACUGUCCUUAACACGGUCUAAACAGCUCUAGCUAUAUUUUUGGGGGAAAAGGUCACUUGCUAUUGGGAAGAGAAAGUGAAGAUUUGUACCAAGAAAGAAAUGUAUUAUCUUCUGCUCUGUACUUCUGGCCCAGCAAGCUGACCUCUGACCAGCCCAUCUGGCCCUAUUAGACUCCCUGUUGGUUCAAGAGCUGUAGGCUUUCUUGCAUUUCUCUGAUCGCACUUUGCCAAUUCUUCCUGCUCAACCAGCAUGAACGCAGCUCUCUGAAAAUUAAACUCUUUAUGCUGUUGCUAGGUGGCAGAGGCACUGCCUAACACAUGCAAAAUCUAGUAAAGUAGAACUUCUUGAACUUUUCCUGCCAGAGUAUAUUGUUGACAGACUGGUACAGCUCCUUGAAUUUUAAUUUCACCCACUCACCAUCACAUAUUCCCACACACAAAACCAGGGAAGUUUCCCAUUACAGCACUUGGAAGUGCUGUUUAUGUUUACUGCUAAUAAUUGGAGACCAGUUUGAAUUUCUGCUUGUAGAGCUGUAACCAUGAAUUAUUCCCACAUUUUCUUUUCACCAUUGGUGUCAUAUGUGAUCUUACAUCUUAAAAAAAUUGAUGCCCUAGAGGGAAAUGCUUGCACAGUAGUCUACAAAUCUCAUUUUGGUGUUCGGGUUUUUGCUUGCAAACAGAAAUUUGCAUAACCCAGUGUAACAGCAGAGGAAUUAUGCACCAAAAGUAGCAGAUCUGAAGUUACUUGUCAAAUUGCAUUGUAACACUUACUUCUUGCCAGGUAGAGAAAAAUGGUAUAGGAUUUAUCUAGUACUUAGCCGGCAGUUAUCCAGCUUCAGGGCAAUUCCACUCCCUUUCCUCCCAAAU
ensembl:lncRNA